GCCUCGGUGGUGUAGUGGUCAAGACGCUCGCCUGGUAAACAGGAGGGCGUGGGUUCGACUCCAACCGAGGUA
rnacentral:tRNA from 1 species